UGAUCUUAUAAACCAAAGCAGCGCUUCUGAGGAGUCAGAGUUUCCCGGUCGUAAAAUCUCCAUCCGCCUGCUUAAAAUGGGAGCGUAACGGCCAAGGCAGGAACGAUUACUUCACAUUUAUUUCGGGAUCGGCGGGAACCACUCAUGUGAGCGGCAGAGGUGAGUGGGCAGGUAGGCAGGGGCUUCAUGGGCACCGGGGGCUUCUGUGCUCCCCGUCUAUAUCCUGGCUAGUCUAAACCCCGCAGAUCAUACAUUUUGGCAUAAUUAGGAUUUAUUUAUUCAUGUCAGCAUGUAUAUAAUAGCUACAUUCGAGUGACAAGGCAAGCCUUUUAUUCUUUCAUAUCACAGAUUUUAUUUUCAUUUGGAGCAAGGGUCCAUUCGUUCAUUUCGUCUUGCAAGGGUACCUGUUCAUUGCGAACACUUAUUUCAAAAGACACUGUGCUUGUUUAGAAAGCACAAUUUAAUUUCUCCAAUCUGCAAAGAAUCCCAAAGAAACAAAAAUGAAUAAAAAAAAUGCACAACUGCAACUUUAAGACGAGCCCCCCCUCCGCGGGCGCUGACAAUGGUCUUUACCGGGGUGCGCUUUCCUAGGCACAAAUUGCAACGUGCCAUCUUCUCACCAAUGGGUAUUUUUGGAAAACGAAAUGUCACCGGCGAGCUGGCCAGUUUUAAGUUUUUCGCAAAAAUGCCAGGCGUGGAUUUAACCCCGGUGCCCCCCCCAGAAAGCCCGGCUUGCGUGUCGCGGCGGGUUGCGAGCGAAGCCCUCUAACGCCGAUGGUCCCGGAGUGGGCAGCUGUGUGAUUUCGGAGACUGCGGCUGUCUCACGGUCUUCAUCUACGGUGGGCACGGAUAUAUAAGUAAACUGGCGAGAUGAUGUGCGAGGUGAUGCCCACCAUCAGCGAGGACACGGCGGCCGGCCAGCGCGGCUCCCAGAGCAGUGCCUCGGACCCGGACUCGCACUUCGAGCAGCUGAUGGUCAACAUGCUGGACGAGCGCGACCGGCUGCUGGAUACGCUGCGCGAGACGCAGGAGAGCCUGGGGCUGGCGCAGCAGCACCUGCAGGACGUCAUCUACGACCGCGAUUCGCUGCAGAGGCAGCUGAGCUCCGCCCUGCCUCAGGAGUUUGCUGCCCUGACCAAGGAGCUGAAUGCAUGCAGGGAGCAGCUGCUGGAGAAGGAGGAGGAGAUCUCUGAGCUGAAGGCGGAGAGGAACAACACGCGGCUGCUUCUGGAGCACUUGGAGUGCCUGGUGUCCCGGCACGAGCGGUCGCUGCGCAUGACCGUCGUCAAGCGGCAGGCCCAGUCCCCGUCGGGCGUGUCCAGUGAAGUCGAGGUCCUCAAAGCCCUCAAGUCCUUGUUUGAGCACCACAAGGCCCUAGAUGAAAAGGUCAGGGAACGACUGCGGGGUUCCCUGGAGAGGGUCUCAGCCCUGGAGGAGGAGCUGGCCGCCGCCAACCAGGAGAUUGUAGCCUUAAGGGAGCAGAAUGCCCAUAUCCAGAGGAAGGUAGCUUCCGGGGAAGGAGCAGACGACCUGUUGGAUGGCACGGACACCGGUCUUAAGGUCCAUGGCAAGCGCCUCUCCAAUGGCUCCCUGGAGUCAGCCGACGAGGCCAGCCAGGUGGUGGAGCUGCAGGAGCUGCUGGAGAAGCAGAACUUUGAACUGGCCCAGAUGAAGGAGCGCAUGUCCUCGCUGUCGUCUCGCGUGUCAGAAGUGGAGCAGGAGCUGGAGACAGCCCGCAAGGACCUCAUCAAGUCCGAGGAGAUGAACACCAAGUACCAGAGGGACAUCAAAGAGGCCAUGUGUCAGAAGGAAGACAUGGAGGAGCGCAUUGUGACCCUGGAGAAACGCUACCUGAGCGCCCAGAGAGAGUCCACCUCCCUGCACGACAUCAGCGACAAGCUGGAGAACGAGCUGGCUAACAAGGAGGCCAUCCUCAGACAGAUGGAGGAGAAGAACCGGCAGCUGCAGGAGAGGCUGGAGCUGGCGGAGCAGAAGCUGCAGCAGACCAUGAGGAAGGCGGAGACGCUGCCCGAGGUGGAGGCCGAGCUGGCCCAGAGGAUAGCGGCCCUCACUAAGGCAGAGGAGCGUCACGGGAGCAUCGAGGAGAGCAUGCGGCACCUGGAGUGCCAGCUGGAGGAGAAGAACCAGGAGCUGCAGAGGGCUCGCCAGAGGGAGAAGAUGAACGAGGAGCACAACAAGCGCCUGUCGGACACCGUGGACCGGCUGCUGACGGAAUCCAACGAGCGACUGCAGCUCCACCUUAAGGAGAGAAUGGCGGCCUUGGAGGAGAAGAAUGUUUUAAUACAAGAUUCGGAAAACUACAGAAAACAGCUGGAAGAUUCCCUCCAUGAAAAAUCUCAGCUUGCGGAAGAGAUGGAGAAGCUGAGGUCGGACCUGGAUCAGUUCAGAAUAAGGGCCGGAUCGCUCACGGAACCAACCCUCUCACGGUCUCACCUGGACGCCUCCACCGAGCUCCGGUUCUCCCUGGGCUCCCUGGCGGACACCCAGUCAGACCAUUACAGGUCGACGAAGGUGAUGCGGAGGCCCAGGAGAGGCAGGAUGGGCCUCCGGUGCGAGGAGCAUAGGGCUAAGUCCCUUGGGGAGCAGGAAUGGCGGAGCCAACAGCUGGGGGUCCUAGGCACCCAUCAUUUUGAGAGCGACACGGAGAUAUCAGACAUCGACGACGACGACUCUGACACCAUCUUCAGCUCCAUGGAUCUGCUGUCCCCUGGAGGCCACUCGGAUGCCCAGACACUGGCCAUGAUGCUGCAGGAGCAGCUGGAUGCCAUCAACAAGGAGAUCCGGCUGAUCCAGGAGGAGAAGGAGUCGACGGAGCUGAGAGCAGAGGAAAUCGAGAACCGGGUGGCCAGUGUGAGCCUGGAGGGCCUCAACCUGGCCCGAGUGCACCACCCUGGAGCCUCCAUCACUGCUUCGGCCACGGCCUCCUCACUGGCCAGCUCUUCCCCCCCCAGCGGACACUCCUCCCCUAAGCAGACCCCCCGCAGCCCUGCCCGGGACAUGGAACGCAUGGGUGUCAUGACACUGCCCAGUGAUUUAAGAAAACACAGAAGAAAGAUAGCGGCAGUGGAUGAGGAUGGUCGAGAAGACAAGGCCACCAUCAAGUGCGAAACGUCGCCACCUCCCACGCCCCGCCAAGUCCGAAUGACCCACACGCUGCCCUCCUCCAGCCAUAAUGAUACACGUGGCGUGGGCGCCGCCCUGGAGGUGGAUGCUAGCGCCCUGAGCAGUGUUGCCAGCAGCCAGGACUCCCUCCACAAGCAGCCCAAGAAGAAAGGCAUCAAAUCCUCCAUCGGCCGGCUCUUCGGCAAGAAAGAGAAGGCCCGACUGGGACAGCUGCACAAAGAGCUGGGCGGACUGGGCCAAGUAGGUGCAUCUGAUCCAGAGCUGAGCGGUCAGGAAAUGGCUCCAGGGAAGUUGGGCACCCAGGCUGAGAAGGACAGGAGGCUGAAGAAGAAGCACGAGCUUCUGGAGGAGGCUCGCAGGAAGGGCUUACCCUUUGCCCAGUGGGACGGCCCCACCGUGGUCGCCUGGCUGGAGCUCUGGCUAGGUAUGCCCGCCUGGUACGUGGCAGCCUGCCGUGCCAACGUGAAGAGCGGUGCCAUCAUGUCGGCGCUGUCCGAUACUGAGAUCCAGCGCGAGAUCGGCAUCAGCAACCCACUGCACCGGCUCAAGCUGCGUCUGGCCAUCCAGGAGAUGGUGUCCCUGACCAGCCCCUCAGCACCUCCCACCUCCAGAACUAAAUCAGACUCUGAAGAAGGAAGCUGGGCGCAGACUCUCGCAUAUGGAGACAUGAACCACGAGUGGAUCGGAAACGAGUGGCUGCCCAGCCUGGGGCUCCCUCAGUACCGCAGCUACUUCAUGGAGUGCCUGGUCGACGCCCGCAUGCUGGACCAUCUCACCAAGAAAGACCUCAGGGUGCACCUCAAGAUGGUGGACAGCUUCCACAGGACAAGUCUGCAGUAUGGAAUCAUGUGCUUAAAGAAGCUGAACUAUGACAGGAAAGAGCUGGAGUGGAGGAGAGAACACAGCCAGCAUGAGAUAAGAGACGUGCUGGUGUGGAGCAACGAGCGCGUGAUCCGCUGGGUGCAGAGCGUCGGGCUGCGUGACUACGCCAACAUCCUGCAGGAGAGCGGCGUGCACGGAGCCCUCAUCGCCCUCGACGACAACUUCGACUACAGCAGCCUGGCUCUGCUGCUGCAGAUCCCCAACCAGAGCACGCAGGCACGGCAGAUCCUGGAGAGAGAGUACAACAACCUGCUAGCCUUGGGCACCGAGAGGCGUUUGGAAUGUGAUGACAAGGACUUCCAGCGCAGCGCCCCCUGGAGGAGGCAGUUUCCACCACGGGACGUCCACGGGAUCAGCAUGAUGCCCGGCUCUGCGGAGACGCUGCCGGCCGGUUUCCGGGUCACCACCACCUCUGGACACUCGCGCAGGAUGCCCCCCGAAGUCCUCUAUGAGGUGUUGGACAGCUGUCCUGAGGACAUAUGUGAGGACUGGUUUCAAGGUCAGCUAUACUGGUGGAGUUCACCACGCUACAUGCCCCACCCCAGUUCCCGUUGCCCUCCCCAACUCGUCCGGCUGACCUUUCAGUGUCCCACGUUUCCCGCCCUCUCAGUUUCACAGCAGGAGCAGGAAUGCACACCAGAUGAAGGCUUUGAAACAGGACGUCUGUGUGUGAGCACCUGCCCCCGGUGUGAAAAUACUGCAGUCAUGUCUGUGAUCUUUUAAUUUACGUCCAAUCAACACGUCUAAGGUACACCCCUCAUCAGAACCGGUCCCGGCUGUCCCCAAGUGUCACGUUGUUCACUGGGUAACAGACUCAGUAAUCGUGUGUAUACUUGCACUUUGUGUGCUUUUUACCUCCAGCCACAAGGGGGCGCUUGAGGUGACGUUUCCCUUUGUCUGCAGUGGGCCCGUCGGCGAUGCAGAGGCUGGACAGCUCCACUGUGCGGACUUACUCGUGCUGACAUUCUCACUGGAGGGGGAGAGGCUCAGUAGUUGCUAGCCUUCAUUUUGCCCCCAUUACCUCAGAAGUGGGCAAGGAGACCCUCUGCAGGACCUCAUACAAGGAACAGAGCUCCGACGAGACGCACUGCCAAGAAGCACGACCCCCUCCUUCCCACCCCAGAACCAAGGGCCCAGCAGGGACACGGGGGGGGGGGGGUGCCGGUGGAGGGGGUGCCAAGGCCCAGGAUGGCCCCUCUGCACUUGCAAGCCAAGUCCUUAAUCUGGCCACCAGACCGGGUGCUAACCAAUGUCCCGCAGCCUCUUUUUCUUGCUAUUUAUACCUUGUAACAUAACUAGUUAAGAUGUGUAUUUCUUCUAAUGGAAAUCGUUGAAGUUAUCUGUAAAUGAGUAUAAAUACUGCUUUUUAUAAGCGCGUGCAUCACAGAGGCAACUUUGUGCCGAACACGUCCCCUGAAUGUCAGUCCCGCAGGUGAAGGAUGCUGCUGUGACUUCUAUUUCCCAUCCUUACAGCUAUUUCGUACGUCGGAUUUUCCUUCGUCCCCAAAGCUUAGCGGCAGUAGCAGCCCGAAGGAGGACCUCACGCUUAAAAGCAUUACUUUUCGCUCCCUACCUUGGUCUUUUUUCUGAUCGACGCCAUUUUUACCUUCAGCUGUGAACGCAUAUCGCCCCCUGGUGGUGUACAGCCACGUACUUGUGUGUCGCCGACGGGAGGUGGGGGAAGCCAGGGGCAGGGAGGAGCGCACUGUGACAGCGAGCCGCUGUGACGAGCACUUUGAGAGAAACCGCACGCUGACCUCUGCAUAACAAGGAGCUGAUUACUCCUUCCCCCCUGACGUGUGCAACCGAACCGUCGGUUUAGCAGCUGCGCCAGAAGUCAGACUGGCGCCGCUGUGCUGGACCCUCAGUCUAUACGGCCUUUUCCCGUCCCGUGGACUUUAACCCCAGUCACUUUAUAAGGAAGAACGGCCGAGAGACAGGCCGCUGAACUUGUAUGUGGUAAAUAUGAACGUGUCAAACGCCAGAGGAACUCAGCUCAAUGUGUUGCUUGCUUUGACUAUUUAGUGUAGCUGUUGACAUUGUGCGAGUGCCAGGGGUGAUCUCUCUUCUUCUUCCAUUCCUCUUUCUUUUCCGUUUACUCUUAGCUCAAGAUUGAUUUUAUUCCUGCCCCUCCCCACCCCCCCCCACCCCCCCCACAUAUGACU